rnacentral:lncRNA from 1 species
AUGUUUGGAGGUUAUGCAGAAGUCGCCCUCACCUGGGAGCUUGAAUUUAAGAGAGCGUCCUUCUUCUCUUAUGGCGAUAAUUUCUUCUGCAUGAAUGUUUCUGAUGAGAGUGAACAGCAGGGAGAAGCAGAGCUGUGCGACUGCAGCCAUCCUGCUCAGAGGUCUCCUGGUGAGUGUCGUACAAACACUGACACUGCUCGCUUCAUGAGCGUCCUGUUUGUGGUUGGAGGAACGCCACUUCUUUAUCACAUCAUCAAGGAACACUUUGAAGCAUUUGGCUCAGUAUCAAGCGUUCGGUCUGCUUAAUGUGUGGAUGUUACGAAACCGUUUACAGCCCAAACAAGAAAAACUGACCAUUUAUUAAAAGCUUCUAAAUGUCAGAGACACUGAUCCUAAAGCUGAACUCCCUUGGACCCCAAACCAGCAGAAACCAGGGAGGGUCAUUCUAUAUAAACUCAGUGAAAUCUGAAAAAACAAAGUUCCCAGCUCAGAAUCAGCUGAUUUCUUUGUGUGUAAUAAAAUCUUUAUAAUUAGAAUAUUGGUUUAAAUGUUGUAAUUUAUGGCAGGUCACCUACUCACUGGAAGUUUGGUGGAUAUAUCCUAGUCUGCUCCGGUCUGCAUGCCAAAUAUCCUUGGGCAAGUUAUUAACCCCAUGUUGCUCUCCAAUGCAUCCCUCGGAGUGUGAAUGUGUCUGUGAAUGUUAGAUAGAAAGCGCUUAGAAGAAGUGCUUGGGUGAAUGAACGAGUUAUGUAAAGUCCUCUGAGUGCUCAGAUUGAGGAGAAAAGCGUUAUAUAAGAGCCAGUCCAUUUUCCAUUUACUUUUUAAUUGGGAUUAUUUUUCUAUAUUUAGCACAACUGCACCAGGCUCAUGUCUGUGACGUACAGGAACAGAAACCAGCACUGGUACUCUGGAUGUUUGAUCUGUUUUCUGAUCAUUCACUGGAGAAAACUUCAAAAAGUGUAUUUUCACUAAACUUUCAAGGGUCAUAUUAGUUAUAGUUUAUCAAAGGUCUCAUUUUAACCUACAUUUGGAUCCCAGGAUCGUCUUCAACCUGAGAGUCAAAAUUAUUUUAUAAUACACUCAUAUUUAAUGAUUUAUUUAAAAAUCUCCGAAAGGAGAUUUUUAAUAUUAUCUUUGUGGCUGUUGAACUGACUGAACAUCCAAAAAUUAAAUAUUUAAAGCAGCAAGUCUUCAUAUUUAAUAGAAUAUCUGAACUGUUUACUUGAGAGUGUCCAAAAAUGAAAAAUAUAAAGAUUAGUGUGACAGUUUUAAUCAGAUCCUCAGAUGAAAACAUUUCCUCCUAAAUUCUCAGUAUUCACUUAUCAGCAUUCAGUCAAACAUUUUUUUAAAUCUUUUUUUAACAAGUGACUUUCCACAGC